rnacentral:rRNA from 1 species
UACGAAGGGAGCUAGCGUUGUUCGGAAUCACUGGGCGUAAAGCGCACGUAGGCGGAUGUGUCAGUCAGGGGUGAAAUGCCGGAGCUCAACUUCGGAACUGCCUUUGAUACAGCACGUCUUGAGUCCGGAAGAGGUGGGUGGAAUUCCUAGUGUAGAGGUGAAAUUCGUAGAUAUUAGGAAGAACACCGGUGGCGAAGGCGGCCCACUGGUCCGGUACUGACGCUGAGGUGCGAAAGCGUGGGGAGCAAACAGG